rnacentral:rRNA from 1 species
UACGGAGGGAGCUAGCGUUGUUCGGAAUUACUGGGCGUAAAGCGCACGUAGGCGGCUUUGUAAGUUAGAGGUGAAAGCCCGGAGCUCAACUCCGGAACUGCCUUUAAGACUGCAUCGCUAGAACGUCGGAGAGGUGAGUGGAAUUCCGAGUGUAGAGGUGAAAUUCGUAGAUAUUCGGAAGAACACCAGUGGCGAAGGCGACUCACUGGACGACUGUUGACGCUGAGGUACGAAAGCGUGGGGAGCAAACAGG